rnacentral:misc_RNA from 1 species
AGAUCAAGAGGAAAUGGUUAUUAUAGGCCAAGUACCCGCCAAGAUAGAGGGUUCACAGGUAACCAAUUACUAAGAAAUGGACAAAACCAAUCAGAGUAGACCGUUUAGUUUUCUUAAACAGAGGGAGAGCAAAGUUUUCGUUCCAGGCAUCGCAACUCAGCACAUUCACCCUCAUUAGUUUCAAGAAUGAUAUAAUUUAUAAUUCCACAAGUCAGAUUGAUUUAGAUGUGUCAGGCGUAUGAAUCACGCUUG